rnacentral:rRNA from 1 species
UAGGGAAUCUUCCACAAUGGACGCAAGUCUGAUGGAGCAACGCCGCGUGAGUGAAGAAGGUUUUCGGACCGUAAAGCUCUGUUGUUGGUGAAGAAGGAUAGAGGUAGUAACUGGCCUUUAUUUGACGGUAAUCAACCAGAAAGUCACGGCUAACUACGUGCCAGCAGCCGCGGUAAUCGUAGGUGGCAAGCGUUGUCCGGAUUUAUUGGGCGUAAAGCGAGCGCAGGCGGAAGAAUAAGUCUGAUGUGAAAGCCCUCGGCUUAACCGAGGAAUUGCAUCGGAAACUGUUUUCUUGAGUGCAGAAGAGGAGAGUAGAACUCCAUGUGUAGCGGUGGAACGCGUAGAUAUAUGGAAGAAUACCAGUGGCGAAGGCGGCUCUCUGGUCUGCAACUGACGCUGAGGCUCGAAAGCAUGGGUAGCGAACAGGAUUAGAUACCCUGGUAGUCCAUGCCGUAAACGAUGAGUGCUAAGUG